rnacentral:lncRNA from 1 species
GUUUGUUUAAAGUAUUUACAGAAAAAAAAAUCAUAAAAAUGUUCUAUUGUAUUAUUUACUAGAAUUCGUAUAAAAAAUCCACACAUGAAUCCUACAAUCUAAUUUUAAAAGUUGCAUGGCUAUCACUUACUUUUCGUUGGUUAAUAGCUACACCAAAAGUCGUCGAUGCGCUUUAAAUAGCGUUAUUAGAUGGUUAACGAACAAGACUUAAAUAAGAUUAAUUUCACUCCCGGCAUGCUCAAAGACUUAAACUACGUCACAUAAGUCAGGAAGUUUGAUAAAAUAAAAUUAAUAAUUCCCAAUUUUCUUCUUUAUUACUUUUCAUAUCGAAAUAAAACUUGGUGAAUAUGUUUUUUAUGGUAUUAUGAACAUAAUAAGAUGAAAAGUGAAAAAUCGCAAAUUAUCCCUUUAAGUACCCCAUAAGGUUCACCAAUUCUGGUGUAAUUUUAAAGUGCUCCUUUUGGUUUGCCACAAAUGGAUACGCAUUCAAGUGUGCUCCUUAAGGUUCAUCAAAGCAGGGUGUGCUCUAAAGUGUUUCUUUAAGCACAUCCUCACUUUUACGGAAAUGUUGUUAACCGUGCCCGGAAAUUUAGAAAAGAUCCUGGUAAACUUAUCGACCCUUUAAAACAAACUUAUUCUGAAAUGUUACCAAUUCAAC